UUCCAGCUCCAAUAGCAUAUACUAAUGUUGUUGCGGUUAAAAAGCUCGUAGUCAGAGAUGUGUCCCGCGUUGCCGGUCCACAGACUGUCUGUGCCGACUGCGCAGGUGCGAGGACGUCCUGGCCGGAAGCGGCGAUGCCGAAACUUACCUCAACCCCGUGGUUCUUCGGAGAUCCGGGUGGUUUUCGGGCAGGCUUCAAAACCCUGUCUCCGGAGCCCUCAUGACUCCGUCCUGCGUGUGGUGGGUUUGUCUAGGCGAGUCGCAAUUUUAGGUCCCGACCUAGUGCUCUUAACCGAGUGCUUAGGAGGGCCGGCACUCUUACUUUGAACAAACUCGAGUGCUCAAAGCUGGCCUUCUGGCCCAGUCGCUGUGUGCAUGGAAUAAUGGAAUAGGACUUCGGUCUUGUUCUGGUUGGUCCUAAAGUGCCGAAGUAAUGAUCAAAAGGAGCAGGCGGGGGCAUUCGUACUGCGGCGUUAGAGGUGAAAUUCUUAGAUCGUCGCAAGACGGACAAAAGCGAAAGCAUUUGCCAAGGAUGUUUCCACUGAUCAAGAGCGAAAGUUGGAGGAUCGAAGGCGAUCAGAUACCGCCCUAGUUCUAACUAUAAAUGAUGCCAGCCAGCUAUGCACCGCAGUCGCCUUUGACUCGGAGCGAAGCUUCCGGGAAACCAGAGCUUUCAGGUUCCGGGGGAAGUAUGGUUGCAAAGCUGAAACUUAAAGGAAUUGACGGAAGGGCACCACCAGGAGUGGAGCUUGCGGCUUAAUUUGACUCAACACGGCAAAAUUUACCAGGGCAGGACAUACGUAGGAUUGACAGAUUGAAGAUCUUUCUUGAUUGUGUGGGUGGUGGUGCAUGGCCGUUCUUAGUUCGUGGAUUGGUCCGUCUGGUUGAUUCCGAUAACGAACGAGACUCUAGCCUACUAAAUAGUCCAUAUAGAGAUCCCUUCGGGGCUAUCUGAGAGAAAUCCUUCUUAGAGGGAACAGCGGCCUCGAGUCGCAUGAUAUAGAGCAAUAACAGGUCUGGUAUGCCCUUAGAUGUCCUGGGCCGCACGCGUGCUACAAUGAAGAAAGCAGCGUGAAAAAUCCUAGGCCGAGAGGUCCGGGUAAUCAGAUAAAACUUUUUCAUGCAGGGGAUAGGGGCUUGCAAUUGACCCCUUGAACUAGGAAUUCCCAGUAGGCACGAGUUAGGAGCUCGUGUCGAUUGAGUCCCUGCCCUUUGUCCACACCGCCCGUCGCUACUUCCGAUCGAAUGGGGUAGUGAGGUCUCCGGACCGAUGCUACAGGUUCAAAAAACCUUAGCUUUGGGAGGCUGACCGAACUUGCUCGUUUAGAGGAAGUAAAAGUCGUAACAAGGUUUCCGUAGGUG
rnacentral:rRNA from 2 species